CUGGAAGAAGGUCUGGGACCUAAUCAGAGAAAAAGGUCCUCCAUAAUACAGCUCCUCUACAGGGAAAGUUCCAACAUUUGAUCUCUUCCCAACAACUUCCCAGCCUCCCACUCCAGUGCUAUCACCUCCAUACCUGUUAUCUUAUGCCAUUUCCUCUCCCGGGUCCAGGAGGAGACCUGCCUGUCUGUGAACUGAGAGAUAAAGAGGGAGGCUCUGGGUUUUGGAUGGGCAUCCACGCUGGUCACACAUCAUGCUGGAGGCCAGAGUUUUAUGGCUUUUGAGUUGCCUUCUACAUGAUCCUCAAGAAGGGGAUACAAAGAUCCAGACUCCAGAAUUUAAGAAAGCAGGAGCAGAAGGAUGAUAAAGGGAAGAAGGAUGAAGAUGAGAUGGAACCAGAGUGGUUUUCAAAACAUCAGAUCUACUCCUAAUAUGCCCCUUCUCAAAAGCCUUCGUGUUGACUCCCAGCCAACAGACCAACCCACCCUGUAGAGAAAAAUUCAAGCACCCUAACCUAGCCUUUCUCUGUCUCCCCUCCCAUCAUCCUCUUCGUUCCAGCCACACCAUCUGCCAUCUGUCAGUUCCUCUCCAGACACAUUCUGUCCUUUCCAAUUCCCCUACUCUUCAUAGGUUUCUUACAGACCAUGACUGGUCUUCAUAGUAUUUGUCCUCUCAGGCCAGCUUGCAGAAUGCUCACUCUUACUUAUUGUCUAUGGGUGUUUGCUAAGUUGAGAUUACCGGACAGUAUUUGAAGUCUCCAACUUUGUUAGCAUUUUUACACUGCUUAUUAGUAGGUUAAGAAGGCAUGUGCAUGGAUAAAAUGUAAAUUAGUGUAAUCUUCCAGAAGAGGAAUUUUUUUAAUUUGUAUUUUAUGUUGGAGUAUAGUUGAUAUACAGUGUUGUAUUAGUUUCAGGUGUACAGCAAAGUGAUUCAGUUAUACAUAUACAUAUAUCUAUUCCUUUUCAGGUUCUUUUCCCAUAUAGGUUAUUACAGAAUAUUGAGUAGAGUUCCCUGUGCUAUAUAAUAGGUCCUUGUUGAUUAUUUUAUAUAGUAGUGUGUAUAUGUUAAUCCCGACCUCCUCAUUUAUCCCUCCCCACUAACUUUCCCUUUUAGUAACCAUAAGUUUGUUUUCUGUGAGUCUG